rnacentral:lncRNA from 1 species
GAAGGAACCAAGAUACUAGAGGAGUAGGGCUGGAGGAGUAAGAGGCAGUAUUUGCUCUGGGCUCUUUCUUGUAUAAGGUCAUAGAGUAUAGUCUUGGUAAUCUUUGCUCCUGUCCCUAUUCCCCAUCCUCUGUCACUCGUAGAGGGAGUGAAUUGAACUUAAUGAAUAUUAUAUUCAUCCAGCUUCUUCAAAAUGGCUGUCUGAAAAAACUCAGAAGGGGGUACAAAAAUUGAACUGCGCGUCUCUGAAAUUCUCACAUCAAAUUACUUUUAAAAUAACUAUGUUAAUGCCUCCCCUGGCACAGGAACUUUUGGAGCAGGAGUGGGACCUGCAGCUACUUCCAGGAGAAGGAAGUUAAUGAUGUGCUAUGGUAGCCAGUGGAAGCUGGGACUUCUACUCAGAUUAUUAGUGGUAGUAAGAAGGAUGAUGAUAAAUGAAGUAUAUUUGUUAGAUUUCAACAAGGCCCUAAUGACAAUAUGAACACACAGGAAGACAUCCUCUCUGAAACAAAGCCACUGGUGUAUGAAGGGUGAUCACUGAUUGACUACGCUUCUGGUCUGAUGGAGAUGGCUUCUUGUCGUCGUCUUUGGGAAGAUGGGUCUCAGCUUAUUUACUACUUCCUUAGAGAACCCUUCCUGGCCCCUUCAGUACACCAAAUUCUCCAAUUACAUGAAGGUAUGUUUUCUUCAUUGCACUUUUCGGCCAGAAAUUGACAUUGACUGUGUUUAUUUGACUGAUGUUUGCCUUCUCUAAUGGAUGGUAAGUACCAUAAAGUCACCGAUCAUGUCUAACGGUGCUCAUCACUACAUACUUUAAGGAUUU